UACGUAGGCGGAAAAUUAAGUCAGUAGUGAAAUCCUGCAGCUUAACUGUAGAACUGUUAUUGAUACUGGUUUUCUUGAAUAUAGUUGAGGUAGGCGGAAUGUGUAAUGUAGCGGUGAAAUGCUUAGAUAUUACACAGAACACCGAUUGCGAAGGCAGCUUACUAAGCUAUGAUUGCCGCUGAGGUACGAAAGCGUGGGGAGCGAACAGGAUUAGAUACCCUGGUAGUCC
rnacentral:rRNA from 1 species